UUAAGCGACUAAGCGUACACGGUGGAUGCCCUGGCAGUCAGAGGCGAUGAAGGACGUGCUAAUCUGCGAUAAGCGUCGGUAAGGUGAUAUGAACCGUUAUAACCGGCGAUUUCCGAAUGGGGAAACCCAGUGUGUUUCGACACACUAUCAUUAACUGAAUCCAUAGGUUAAUGAGGCGAACCGGGGGAACUGAAACAUCUAAGUACCCCGAGGAAAAGAAAUCAACCGAGAUUCCCCCAGUAGCGGCGAGCGAACGGGGAGCAGCCCAGAGCCUGAAUCAGUGUGUGUGUUAGUGGAAGCGUCUGGAAAGGCGCGCGAUACAGGGUGACAGCCCCGUACACAAAAAUGCACAUACUGUGAGCUCGAUGAGUAGGGCGGGACACGUGGUAUCCUGUCUGAAUAUGGGGGGACCAUCCUCCAAGGCUAAAUACUCCUGACUGACCGAUAGUGAACCAGUACCGUGAGGGAAAGGCGAAAAGAACCCCGGCGAGGGGAGUGAAAAAGAACCUGAAACCGUGUACGUACAAGCAGUGGGAGCACGCUUAGGCGUGUGACUGCGUACCUUUUGUAUAAUGGGUCAGCGACUUAUAUUCUGUAGCAAGGUUAACCGAAUAGGGGAGCCGAAGGGAAACCGAGUCUUAACUGGGCGUUAAGUUGCAGGGUAUAGACCCGAAACCCGGUGAUCUAGCCAUGGGCAGGUUGAAGGUUGGGUAACACUAACUGGAGGACCGAACCGACUAAUGUUGAAAAAUUAGCGGAUGACUUGUGGCUGGGGGUGAAAGGCCAAUCAAACCGGGAGAUAGCUGGUUCUCCCCGAAAGCUAUUUAGGUAGCGCCUCGUGAAUUCAUCUCCGGGGGUAGAGCACUGUUUCGGCAAGGGGGUCAUCCCGACUUACCAACCCGAUGCAAACUGCGAAUACCGGAGAAUGUUAUCACGGGAGACACACGGCGGGUGCUAACGUCCGUCGUGAAGAGGGAAACAACCCAGACCGCCAGCUAAGGUCCCAAAGUCAUGGUUAAGUGGGAAACGAUGUGGGAAGGCCCAGACAGCCAGGAUGUUGGCUUAGAAGCAGCCAUCAUUUAAAGAAAGCGUAAUAGCUCACUGGUCGAGUCGGCCUGCGCGGAAGAUGUAACGGGGCUAAACCAUGCACCGAAGCUGCGGCAGCGACGCUGAUGCGUUGUUGGGUAGGGGAGCGUUCUGUAAGCCUGUGAAGGUGUGCUGUGAGGCAUGCUGGAGGUAUCAGAAGUGCGAAUGCUGACAUAAGUAACGAUAAAGCGGGUGAAAAGCCCGCUCGCCGGAAGACCAAGGGUUCCUGUCCAACGUUAAUCGGGGCAGGGUGAGUCGACCCCUAAGGCGAGGCCGAAAGGCGUAGUCGAUGGGAAACAGGUUAAUAUUCCUGUACUUGGUGUUACUGCGAAGGGGGGACGGAGAAGGCUAUGUUGGCCGGGCGACGGUUGUCCCGGUUUAAGCGUGUAGGCUGGUUUUCCAGGCAAAUCCGGAAAACUAAGGCUGAGGCGUGAUGACGAGGCACUACGGUGCUGAAGCAACAAAUGCCCUGCUUCCAGGAAAAGCCUCUAAGCAUCAGGUAACAUCAAAUCGUACCCCAAACCGACACAGGUGGUCAGGUAGAGAAUACCAAGGCGCUUGAGAGAACUCGGGUGAAGGAACUAGGCAAAAUGGUGCCGUAACUUCGGGAGAAGGCACGCUGAUAUGUAGGUGAAGUCCCUCGCGGAUGGAGCUGAAAUCAGUCGAAGAUACCAGCUGGCUGCAACUGUUUAUUAAAAACACAGCACUGUGCAAACACGAAAGUGGACGUAUACGGUGUGACGCCUGCCCGGUGCCGGAAGGUUAAUUGAUGGGGUCAGCGCAAGCGAAGCUCUUGAUCGAAGCCCCGGUAAACGGCGGCCGUAACUAUAACGGUCCUAAGGUAGCGAAAUUCCUUGUCGGGUAAGUUCCGACCUGCACGAAUGGCGUAAUGAUGGCCAGGCUGUCUCCACCCGAGACUCAGUGAAAUUGAACUCGCUGUGAAGAUGCAGUGUACCCGCGGCAAGACGGAAAGACCCCGUGAACCUUUACUAUAGCUUGACACUGAACAUUGAGCCUUGAUGUGUAGGAUAGGUGGGAGGCUUUGAAGUGUGGACGCCAGUCUGCAUGGAGCCGACCUUGAAAUACCACCCUUUAAUGUUUGAUGUUCUAACGUUGACCCGUGAUCCGGGUUGCGGACAGUGUCUGGUGGGUAGUUUGACUGGGGCGGUCUCCUCCUAAAGAGUAACGGAGGAGCACGAAGGUUGGCUAAUCCUGGUCGGACAUCAGGAGGUUAGUGCAAUGGCAUAAGCCAGCUUGACUGCGAGCGUGACGGCGCGAGCAGGUGCGAAAGCAGGUCAUAGUGAUCCGGUGGUUCUGAAUGGAAGGGCCAUCGCUCAACGGAUAAAAGGUACUCCGGGGAUAACAGGCUGAUACCGCCCAAGAGUUCAUAUCGACGGCGGUGUUUGGCACCUCGAUGUCGGCUCAUCACAUCCUGGGGCUGAAGUAGGUCCCAAGGGUAUGGCUGUUCGCCAUUUAAAGUGGUACGCGAGCUGGGUUUAGAACGUCGUGAGACAGUUCGGUCCCUAUCUGCCGUGGGCGCUGGAGAACUGAGGGGGGCUGCUCCUAGUACGAGAGGACCGGAGUGGACGCAUCACUGGUGUUCGGGUUGUCAUGCCAAUGGCACUGCCCGGUAGCUAAAUGCGGAAGAGAUAAGUGCUGAAAGCAUCUAAGCACGAAACUUGCCCCGAGAUGAGUUCUCCCUGACUCCUUGAGAGUCCUGAAGGAACGUUGAAGACGACGACGUUGAUAGGCCGGGUGUGUAAGCGCAGCGAUGCGUUGAGCUAACCGGUACUAAUGAACCGUGAGGCUUAACCUU
rnacentral:rRNA from 1 species